GACGAACGCUGGCGGCGUGCUUCACACAUGCAAGUCGAACGGAAAGCCGCUGCUUUUGUGGGGUGCUUGAGUGGCGAACGGGUGAGUAACACGUGAGUAACCUGCCCUUGACUGUGGGAUAAGUUCAGGUAACUGUGGCUACUACUAGAUGCGAGGUCCUGCUGCUUGGUGGGGGUUGGAAGGUUUCGGCGGUUGGGGAUGGACUCGCGUCUUAUCGGCUUGUUGGUGGGGUAGUGGCUUACCAAGGCUUUGACGGGUAGCCGGCCUGAGAGGGUGACCGGCCACCUUGGGACUGAGAUACGGCCCAGACUCCUACGUGAGGCAGCAGUGGGGAAGAUUGCACAAUGGGCGGAAGCCUGACGCAGCAACGCCGCGUGCGGGAUGACGUCCUUCGGGUUGGAAACCGCUUUCGCCUGGGACGAAGCGUGAGUGACGGUAAUGAGAAAAGAAGCACCGGCUAACUACGUG
rnacentral:rRNA from 1 species